UUAGAAGUUGUAUUCUGUUCAGAUUGACGCUGCGCAGCUACACAUGCAGUCGACGCAGCACAGGAAGAGCUUGCUCUUUGGGUGCGAGUGGCGGACGGGUGAGUAAUGUCUGGGAAACUGCCCGAUGAGGGGGAUAACUACUGGAAACGGUAGCUAAUACCGCAUAACGUCGCAAGACCAAAGUGGGGGACCUUCGGGCCUCACACCAUCGGAUGUGCCCAGAUGGGAUUAGCUAGUAGGUGGGGUAAUGGCUCACCUAGGCGACGAUCCCUAGCUGGUCUGAGAGGAUGACCAGCCACACUGGAACUGAGACACGGUCCAGACUCCUACGGGAGGCAGCAGUGGGGAAUAUUGCACAACUGGCAGACGCAAGYCUGAUGCAGCCAUGCCGCGUGUAUGAAGAAGGCCUUCGGGUUGUAAAGUACUUUCAGCGGGGAGGAAGGCGGUGAGGUUAAUAACCUUGCCGAUUGACGUUACCCGCAGAAGAAGCACCGGCUAACUCCGUGCCAGCAGCCGCGGUAAUACGGAGGGUGCAAGCGUUAAUCGGAAUUACUGGGCGUAAAGCGCACGCAGGCGGUCUGUUAAGUCAGAUGUGAAAUCCCCGGGCUUAACCUGGGAACUGCAUUUGAAACUGGCAGGCUUGAGUCUCGUAGAGGGGGGUAGAAUUCCAGGUGUAGCGGUGAAAUGCGUAGAGAUCUGGAGGAAUACCGGUGGCGAAGGCGGCCCCCUGGACGAAGACUGACGCUCAGGUGCGAAAGCGUGGGGAGCAAACAGGAUUAGAUACCCUGGUAGUCCACGCCGUAAACGAUGUCGACUUGGAGGUUGUGCCCUUGAGGCGUGGCUUCCGGAGCUAACGCGUUAAGUCGACCGCCUGGGGAGAUACGGCCGCAAGGUUAAAACUCAAAUGAAUUGACGGGGGCCCGCACAAGCGGUGGAGCAUGUGGUUUAAUUCGAUGCAACGCGAAGAACCUUACCUGGCCUUGACAUCCAGAGAACUUAGCAGAGAUGCUUUGGUGCCUUCGGGAACUCUGAGACAGGUGCUGCAUGGCUGUCGUCAGCUCGUGUUGUGAAAUGUUGGGUUAAGUCCCGCAACGAGCGCAACCCUUAUCCUUUGUUGCCAGCGGAUCGGCCGGGAACUCAAAGGAGACUGCCGGUGAUAAAUCCGGAGAGUUGGGGAUGACGUCAGUCAUCAUGACCUUACGGCAGGCUACACACGUGCUACAAUGCGCAUACUAAGAGGAGUCGACUCGCGAGGAGCCAGCCGUACUCUCACGUGCGUCGUAAGUCCGGAUGAAAGUCUGGCAUUCGACUUCCAUGCAUUCCGGA
rnacentral:rRNA from 1 species